GUGGCGAAUAAUGAUGACUAGACUUUUUUCCCCAGCAGAGCGACUAUGUUGACCUCUUUGAAAAAUUAAGCCAAAUGUUCUGAUCUCGCCUA